rnacentral:rRNA from 1 species
GGUUAAGCGACUAAGCGUACACGGUGGAUGCCCUGGCAGUCAGAGGCGAUGAAGGACGUGCUAAUCUGCGAUAAGCGUCGGUAAGGUGAUAUGAACCGUUAUAACCGGCGAUUUCCGAAUGGGGAAACCCAGUGUGUUUCGACACACUAUCAUUAACUGAAUCCAUAGGUUAAUGAGGCGAACCGGGGGAACUGAAACAUCUAAGUACCCCGAGGAAAAGAAAUCAACCGAGAUUCCCCCAGUAGCGGCGAGCGAACGGGGAGGAGCCCAGAGCCUGAAUCAGUGUGUGUGUUAGUGGAAGCGUCUGGAAAGGCGCGCGAUACAGGGUGACAGCCCCGUACACAAAAAUGCACAUGCUGUGAGCUCGAUGAGUAGGGCGGGACACGUGGUAUCCUGUCUGAAUAUGGGGGGACCAUCCUCCAAGGCUAAAUACUCCUGACUGACCGAUAGUGAACCAGUACCGUGAGGGAAAGGCGAAAAGAACCCCGGCGAGGGGAGUGAAAAAGAACCUGAAACCGUGUACGUACAAGCAGUGGGAGCACGCUUAGGCGUGUGACUGCGUACCUUUUGUAUAAUGGGUCAGCGACUUAUAUUCUGUAGCAAGGUUAACCGAAUAGGGGAGCCGAAGGGAAACCGAGUCUUAACUGGGCGUUAAGUUGCAGGGUAUAGACCCGAAACCCGGUGAUCUAGCCAUGGGCAGGUUGAAGGUUGGGUAACACUAACUGGAGGACCGAACCGACUAAUGUUGAAAAAUUAGCGGAUGACUUGUGGCUGGGGGUGAAAGGCCAAUCAAACCGGGAGAUAGCUGGUUCUCCCCGAAAGCUAUUUAGGUAGCGCCUCGUGAAUUCAUCUCCGGGGGUAGAGCACUGUUUCGGCAAGGGGGUCAUCCCGACUUACCAACCCGAUGCAAACUGCGAAUACCGGAGAAUGUUAUCACGGGAGACACACGGCGGGUGUUAACGUCCGUCGUGAAGAGGGAAACAACCCAGACCGCCAGCUAAGGUCCCAAAGUCAUGGUUAAGUGGGAAACGAUGUGGGAAGGCCCAGACAGCCAGGAUGUUGGCUUAGAAGCAGCCAUCAUUUAAAGAAAGCGUAAUAGCUCACUGGUCGAGUCGGCCUGCGCGGAAGAUGUAACGGGGCUAAACCAUGCACCGAAGCUGCGGCAGCGACACUGUGUGUUGUUGGGUAGGGGAGCGUUCUGUAAGCCUGUGAAGGUGUACUGUGAGGUAUGCUGGAGGUAUCAGAAGUGCGAAUGCUGACAUAAGUAACGAUAAAGCGGGUGAAAAGCCCGCUCGCCGGAAGACCAAGGGUUCCUGUCCAACGUUAAUCGGGGCAGGGUGAGUCGACCCCUAAGGCGAGGCCGAAAGGCGUAGUCGAUGGGAAACAGGUUAAUAUUCCUGUACUUGGUGUUACUGCGAAGGGGGGACGGAGAAGGCUAUGUUGGCCGGGCGACGGUUGUCCCGGUUUAAGCGUGUAGGCUGGUUUUCCAGGCAAAUCCGGAAAAUCAAGGCUGAGGCGUGAUGACGAGGCACUACGGUGCUGAAGCAACAAAUGCCCUGCUUCCAGGAAAAGCCUCUAAGCAUCAGGUAACAUCAAAUCGUACCCCAAACCGACACAGGUGGUCAGGUAGAGAAUACCAAGGCGCUUGAGAGAACUCGGGUGAAGGAACUAGGCAAAAUGGUGCCGUAACUUCGGGAGAAGGCACGCUGAUAUGUAGGUGAAGCGACUUGCUCGUGGAGCUGAAAUCAGUCGAAGAUACCAGCUGGCUGCAACUGUUUAUUAAAAACACAGCACUGUGCAAACACGAAAGUGGACGUAUACGGUGUGACGCCUGCCCGGUGCCGGAAGGUUAAUUGAUGGGGUUAGCGCAAGCGAAGCUCUUGAUCGAAGCCCCGGUAAACGGCGGCCGUAACUAUAACGGUCCUAAGGUAGCGAAAUUCCUUGUCGGGUAAGUUCCGACCUGCACGAAUGGCGUAAUGAUGGCCAGGCUGUCUCCACCCGAGACUCAGUGAAAUUGAAUUCGCUGUGAAGAUGCAGUGUACCCGCGGCAAGACGGAAAGACCCCGUGAACCUUUACUAUAGCUUGACACUGAACAUUGAGCCUUGAUGUGUAGGAUAGGUGGGAGGCUUUGAAGUGUGGACGCCAGUCUGCAUGGAGCCGACCUUGAAAUACCACCCUUUAAUGUUUGAUGUUCUAACGUUGACCCGUAAUCCGGGUUGCGGACAGUGUCUGGUGGGUAGUUUGACUGGGGCGGUCUCCUCCUAAAGAGUAACGGAGGAGCACGAAGGUUGGCUAAUCCUGGUCGGACAUCAGGAGGUUAGUGCAAUGGCAUAAGCCAGCUUGACUGCGAGCGUGACGGCGCGAGCAGGUGCGAAAGCAGGUCAUAGUGAUCCGGUGGUUCUGAAUGGAAGGGCCAUCGCUCAACGGAUAAAAGGUACUCCGGGGAUAACAGGCUGAUACCGCCCAAGAGUUCAUAUCGACGGCGGUGUUUGGCACCUCGAUGUCGGCUCAUCACAUCCUGGGGCUGAAGUAGGUCCCAAGGGUAUGGCUGUUCGCCAUUUAAAGUGGUACGCGAGCUGGGUUUAGAACGUCGUGAGACAGUUCGGUCCCUAUCUGCCGUGGGCGCUGGAGAACUGAGGGGGGCUGCUCCUAGUACGAGAGGACCGGAGUGGACGCAUCACUGGUGUUCGGGUUGUCAUGCCAAUGGCACUGCCCGGUAGCUAAAUGCGGAAGAGAUAAGUGCUGAAAGCAUCUAAGCACGAAACUUGCCCCGAGAUGAGUUCUCCCUGACCCUUUAAGGGUCCUGAAGGAACGUUGAAGACGACGACGUUGAUAGGCCGGGUGUGUAAGCGCAGCGAUGCGUUGAGCUAACCGGUACUAAUGAACCGUGAGGCUUAACCUU